UACGAAGGGGGCUAGCGUUGUUCGGAAUUACUGGGCGUAAAGGGCGCGUAGGCGGUGUGUCAAGUCAGGCGUGAAAGCCCCGGGCUCAACCUGGGAACCGCGCUUGAGACUGGCACGCUCGAGUUCGGGAGAGGAUGGUGGAAUUCCCAGUGUAGAGGUGAAAUUCGUAGAUAUUGGGAAGAACACGAUGGCGAAGGCAGCCAUCUGGACCGACACUGACGCUGAGGCGGCGAAAAGCGUGGGGGAGCAAACAGG
rnacentral:rRNA from 1 species